rnacentral:rRNA from 1 species
GAUGAACGCUAGCGGCAGGCUUAACACAUGCAAGUCGAGGGGUAUAGGUUUUCGGACCUAGAGACCGGCGCACGGGUGCGUAACGCGUAUGCAAUCUACCUUUCACAGAGGGAUAGCCCAGAGAAAUUUGGAUUAAUACCUCAUAGUAUAGCAGUUUCGCAUGAAACCACUAUUAAUGUUCCAACGGUGAAAGAUGAGCAUGCGUCCCAUUAGCUAGAUGGUAAGGUAACGGCUUACCAUGGCUACGAUGGGUAGGGGUCCUGAGAGGGAGAUCCCCCACACUGGUACUGAGACACGGACCAGACUCCUACGGGAGGCAGCAGUGAGGAAUAUUGGUCAAUGGACGCAAGUCUGAACCAGCCAUGCCGCGUGCAGGAUGACGGUCCUAUGGAUUGUAAACUGCUUUUGUACGAGAAGAAACAACAUUACGUGUAAUGUCUUGACGGUAUCGUAAGAAUAAGGAUCGGCUAACUCCGUGCCAGCCGCCGCCGCGGUAA